GCACUCGGUGAGAGGGGUUGAGAUUGUUUUAUUCCACUCCAGGUGUUGCUGUCCUCUUGGGUUCCACUUCGGAUUUUGAACCCCUGUAUUUUCUUUUCAAAACCCCCUUUUCCAAUGGAAAUGCUCUGUUGUUAAAAAGGAAGAAACUGUCUUUCUGAAACUGACAUCACGAUGCUCCCAGAUUUUAUGCUGGUUCUCAUCGUCCUUGGCAUCCCUUCCUCAGGAAUGGUUCCAGUGUCUAGGAAUGCAAGAGGAAAUAAAAACAAAGCCAUUUUCUAAUAAGCUCUCAGCUGGGCAUCAUGGCUCACACCUGUAAUCCCAACACUUUGGGAGGCCAAGACGGAAAGUGCACCUUCUGACAGUGGUAACACAGGUGGAGAUGUAUGCUGUGCGUGAAAGAGCAGAGCUGCUUGCUGCCCCUGGAUCUUGGUGAAGAGCAGGAUUCCUGUACCUUCACAGGGAGCACAGCUGCCCACCACAGGUUUCAACUCAAUCGCCGAAAAUGAAGAUGCCC
rnacentral:sRNA from 1 species